UCUAAAAGGAGGCGCCCCAGGUCCUCCUGCAGGUUUCUUGUCCCAACUUACCUGUAUUUCAAGUUCCUAAAAGCGCUCUGGUACAUAUCUGCGGUACUGCAACUAAAAUGCCUUUCAGGCCGUGUCACUGUGUGUGUGUGUUUUUUUUCUGUAUCACAGGUGUGUGCAGUACAAUUCAAGUGAACAAAACUUUGAGCGUCUCUUAGGUCCCAGAUGCUGUGCUUGGUGCUGGGGACAGCAAGAUCAGCGGUGACACCUCAAGGAGGUUGUAUUCCUCUUGGCUGAAGGGAUGAGGAAAAUGAAAAACCAGACAGGGAAGACAGUUGUUGAAUGGCACACAGGUGGUAAGGACUAAAGAGCCAUGAUGAGCAACGAUGAGGACAGCCAGUUUUGAAGUGGUAAGUUUACAAAUACAGAGAGGAGGCCAUGCAACAGUUGGAGGCCCGGAGGAGUAGCUCAAGGCUCAAUUGACCGGUUUCUUAUUCUGCACAGGCAUCACAGUUGAAACUUGCUAAGGUCAGUCGGGAAGGUGAGGAACUUAGCCUCUAGAAGCCAGUGCAAA